rnacentral:rRNA from 1 species
CCUACGGGAGGCAGCAGUGGGGAAUAUUGCACAAUGGGGGAAACCCUGAUGCAGCGACGCCGCGUGAGUGAAGAAGUAAUUCGGUAUGUAAAGCUCUAUCAGCAGGGAAGAAAAUGACGGUACCUGACUAAGAAGCCCCGGCUAACUACGUGCCAGCAGCCGCGGUAAUACGUAGGGGGCAAGCGUUAUCCGGAUUUACUGGGUGUAAAGGGAGCGUAGACGGCAGCGCAAGUCUGGAGUGAAAGGCCAGGGCUCAACCCACGGACUGCUCUGGAAACUGUGCGGCUGGAGUGCAGGAGAGGUAAGUGGAAUUCCUAGUGUAGCGGUGAAAUGCGUAGAUAUUAGGAGGAACACCAGUGGCGAAGGCGGCCUGCUGGGCUUUUACUGACGCUGAGGCUCGAAAGCGUGGGGGGCAAACAGGAUUAGAUACCCUUGUAGUC